GAUGAAGAACGUAGCGAGAUGCGAUAAGUAAUGUGAAUUGCAGAAUUCAGUGAAUCAUCGAGUCUUUGAACGCACAUUGCGCCCCCUGGUAUUCCGGGGGGCAUGCCUGUCCGAGCGUCAUUGCCGCCCUCAAGCACGGCUUGUGUGUUGGGCCCCCGCCCCCCGGCUUCGGGGGGCGGGCCCGAAAGGCAGCGGCGGCACCGCGUCCGGUCCUCGAGCGUAUGGGGCUUCGUCACCCGCUCUGUAGGCCCGGCCGGCGCCCGCCGGCGACCCCAAUCAAUCUUUCCAGGUUGACCUCGGAUCAGGUAGGGAUACCCGCUGAACUUAAGCAUAUCAAUAAGCGGAGGA
rnacentral:misc_RNA from 1 species